rnacentral:lncRNA from 1 species
UCCGGAGCUUCCAGAGGAGAAUUAGGGCUCAAAUUUUAGUGGCCUCCCCUAAAUCUGCGAGACAGCAGCAGAAGCUUGUGCCGGCGACGCGAAGGCGCCGGAUCUUAAGGGGUGGCGGCGGCGAUUUUGGAUUUUGGGAAAUUAGGGCUCCUCAUUUGGGGAUCCCCCAUUAAAUUGAGGAAGAAGGGAGGACGAACGAAGACGGCGGCCUCAGAGACGCAGACGACGGCCGUUCGCCGGACACCCAGUUGCAGCGGCGACGGCGACCUUCAAUUUGUGAGUUAGGGCUCGAUUAAGACCUUCAAUUCGUGAGUUAGGGCUGACGAUAUGAAUUGAGGAAGAAACGAGACGAAGGGAGGAGGCUCGGCUGGCCGUCGUCCUCGCCGG